AUGUUGUUGGACAGACAGAGUUGCCGGACCGUUGUUGCCUUCAGCCAGAUGAUAGUGACGACCCUGUUCAUUAGUGUGGUCGUCAUCAGGCCAUCUGAAGCCAAUCCUGAUGCCAAAAGACUCUACGAUGAUCUGCUGAGUCAUUACAAUCGGCUUAUUCGACCUGUUAGUAAUAACAGCGAAGUGGUCACUGUCCGCCUUGGUCUCCAUCUGUCACAGCUGAUCGAUUUGGACCUGAAGAACCAGAUUCUCACUACCAAUGUUUGGGUCGAACAUGAUUGGAUGGAUUCGAAACUAAAUUGGGAUCCGGACGAGUAUGGCGGCGUGGAGCAACUGAUCGUCCCGUCUGAACUUCUAUGGCUACCAGAUAUUCUUCUGUAUAACAACGCCGAUGGAGAAUACGUCGUGACUACAAUGACCAAAGCGAUACUUCACUUCGACGGCCACGUCAAAUGGAACCCUCCAGCUAUUUUUAAAUCGUAUUGCGAAAUUGACGUCGAGUGGUUCCCCUUUGACACGCAGACAUGCUUCUUGAAGUUUGGUCCCUGGUCUCACAACGGUCUACAGAUGGAUUUGAGACACAUCAACUCGUCAGACAACCUGGUGGAGAUUGGCAUCAACUUGAAGGACUACUACCCCAGCGUCGAAUGGGACAUAAUCAGCGUUCCGGCUGAACGUCACGAGAAAUUCUACGAGUGCUGCCCCAACGAGUUUUAUCCCGACAUCUUCUUCAAUAUGACCCUGCGCCGGAAAACUCUGUUUUACACAGUCAACUUGAUCAUCCCUUGCGUCGGCAUUUCCUGUCUGUCCGUGUUAGUGUUUUACCUUCCGGCCGAUUCGGGCGAAAAGGUGGCGCUGUGCAUCAGCAUCCUUUUGUCGCAGACCAUGUUCUUCUUGCUCAUUUCGGAGAUUAUCCCGUCCACGUCACUAGCCGUCCCCCUGCUGGGCAAAUACCUCCUUUUCACCAUGUUCCUCGUCGGCCUGUCCGUCCUCAUCACCAUCGUCAUUCUCAACAUGCAUUACCGCAAACCAUCCACGCACAAGAUGGCGCCAUGGGUACGGCGCAUUUUUAUCCAUCGGCUGCCAAAGAUCCUUCUCAUGCGGGUACCCAAACGAGUCAACGAGGAAGUCGAGGAACGAAUGAAGUACAUCGCCAAUAGGCGAUUAAAUUCAAAGGAUGGCAGAAGAUGGUCGAGACGAGUCAACUACGGUUCGCAAUUGCUUUGCGAAAUCAUCAACUUUAACAAUCUUCCACCGCCACCAUCGCCUCCCCCUCCGCCUCCACCACCACCGCCCGUCCCUGCCAACUUGCGUGACAUGGGACAAUUAGGACGUCGCAAACGCUAUCCGCUAGAGCUUCAAAAGGCUAUACGAGACGUCCAGUUUAUACGCAAUCACAUGAAACGACGUGACGAAUACGAUGCGGAGGACAAAGACUGGGGAUUUAUCGCCAUGGUACUGGAUAGGCUCUUCCUGUGGAUGUACACCAUCGCCUCGGUGAUCGGCUCAUUCGUCAUCUUGCUCACCGCUCCGGCCCUUUACGAUGACUCGAGUGACAUGGCCAUCAAGUACUCGCUCGUCGCCCAGCAACUUUACGGCAUCCCGGAUUUCUGAAUGGCCGCCUCUUACCCGACAAUGACUUUCAUCCUCACGCCAAAAAACGCAGCACGUCUCGCCCAGACGAUGUCGUAUAUUUUAGUAGGAAAGACUCGCAAUCAAAGUCAAAAACCAUCUUCAAGUCGUUCUCUUUUCUCUUGCUCUCUCCCUUUAAUUAGCUAUAGCUUAAAUAUAAAUAUAUAUAUAUACGGCUUCCAACACUUAAUGUGUUGUGAUCAAACGUACUGUAAUAAUCCCCAACUGGUAACUUUGGGAUGUUUUCUUUUACGUUUGUUUUUGUUUUUCUAAUUUUAUUUUUGUGACCAGAAAAGUCUUCCUACUCUCAACAAAACAGGCCAAGAAAAGAAAAACAGCGCAAACUUUUGAUGUGCGAGCUGACUUUCUAAUAGUCUUUCUCUCGUCGUGUAUCGUUCUUGGAAAUUCUCAAUUAACUUAGACGUGAACCUAUGGCCGGGUUGGGUAAAAGCCCAAAGUUUGAACGGUGUGAAUGAAAAUAAAUAGUCCGCAAAAGAACAACACAAAAGUAACUGACACUCUGCUCUUUAUUCCGUAAUGGAUGAAUCCUUCAUUUCUCACAGAGAGCAGCACACGAAAACUCUUAAGAGUCUUAAAAAUUACCAAAGGUUAAAGUAAUACGCUUCGUGACUGGAACGCUGUUAUUCGAUCCUUUGAUAUGAUCCUAGAUAUCCCGUCUUAUUUCCAGGAGUAAAGAAAAGAAAGUUUUAAUUUCAAGAAAGUUGCGUUUUAUACAUAGGAAAGUUUUUAUCGCAGAGCUGGGCAAUAUUUUAUGCAUGAAGGGACGACAUAACUUGUUUAAUGCCCACAACGUAUAAAAAUAGUUCACCGUGGGCUUCUCAUACAUAAAAUAUAAACAGCAAAGAUAAGUCGUGAAAGAUAAUGCCGUCAGAAAUUGGGCGGAGAUAGACGUAGAUGGGUAGCAGCACCGACGACAAAGUUUUCUUUUAAGACUCGCUCCGUCUGUUUCUCACAGUCAAGUUUAUUAUUUCUCCAGGCGAAAAAAAAAAAACGAUUGAACAACAAGAGAAAGUAAAAGAGAAAAUCGAGAAAAACAGAAAUUCAAGAAAAAAAAAAAAUAAAUAAUAAAUAGGAAGAUGUAUCAUAAAUGGAGCCGAAGCGGAAGAUUGGAUUUGUUUCUUUUUUGCCGGAAAAAGAAAACCAGACUUAAAAGACAGUGGCUGGGAAAAGAGAGAAGAAAAAAGGUUGGAUGUUUAUACCGUUGAAGGACAAAAGAACGCCGUUCCGAUUGAACAAGUGAGACAAAAAGAUCGUAAGUAAAAUGGAUGUGUACAUAUAACGGAAGAAAGAAACGCUGGAUCAACUGCGUUUUCAUGAUGCUGGAAAAAAAAAAGAGAGAAGAAAAAAUGGAUGCUGCGUUUUUCAAAUAGACAAUUUAGUUGCCGUCGGCGCUACUGGAAAAUAGGCAUGAGAUAGCUGAUCCAGCGGAAUGGUCUCGUCGUAGAGCGAUGGCGCUUCAAAGAUGAUGGCUGCCGUGCCGACAAAACAGGCGACGAUGAAGAUCCAGAGGAAGAAACGAUCCAAAACCAUAGCCACAAAUUUCCAGUCUUCAAUCACCUCAAUCUCCCUGUCAGUGUCUUUCGUGUGUUUGGCAAUGAACUGGAUGCUUCUCAGCGCACAGCUGACAUCUGGCGGCAAUAGAUCAUCAUCGCCAUAAGUUAAAGGGCCGAAAUCUAGCACAAACCAGAAAACAAUUCACACUUCGAAGCUGAGAAUUAAAAGAAAAACUAAAUUCGUACUGUGAUAAAUCGGUUGCCUGGGCUGAUUGCUUGAAGCGUAACUGCCAUAGGUGGAAGAACGAAGUUCAAACGUUGCUGUGAUAUCGUUAGUCGGAACAGUUUCUCCAGGGAUCUCCGACGGGCAUGAAGGAUUCUUACGAUAAGUAUGAGCAUAAAUGUACGGUGUCGAAUCGUUCCUGUUUUCGCAGACGACACAAACGUGAAACGCUUGAACCAAUCGGGGAAAAAACACAAAAACAAUUGAAUCGUGUACCUGCCGAAGUCGAUGCCGUUGUAGAAUUGAUUCUUCUUCUUUCUCUCGUCACCACAACUUCCCUGGCAAAGGGAGACAUGUGAUGCGUAGCAGGCGACCUGGAAACCCCGCCCAGGAAAGAGAAAGAAAAUCGAUAGCAGACAGCUUUUUUGUUGUUUCGCUUGGCGGUUUCAGUGAAAAACUACCGAAAAUGGACGUUGAGAACACAAACAGUGACGAUAAUGGAGACUGUCACCAGGAUCAUGGUGAAAAGGAGAUAUUUGCCCAGUAAGGGCACGGCCAGUGACGUGGGAGGAAUAAUUUCAGCCAGCAGGAGGAAGAAGACAGUCAGCGAGACGAGAAUUGAAAUGCACAGGGUGACCUUUUCACCGGAAUCGGAUGGCAGGUAAAAUACGAGAAUCGUUAGAAACGUGAUGCCCACGCAGGGGAUGAUCAAGUUGACAGUAUAGAACAGGGUUUUGCGACGCAUUGUCACAUUGAAAGCAUUUGAAUUACUUGCCUGGAUAAGGUUCUUCGCAGCAAGGAUAUCUUUCUUCAUUCUUCCUGGCUGGAACAUCGAGAAUGUCCCAUUCGACCGAUGGGUAGAAUUCAGUUAAAUUGAUACCAGUAACGAUGUUGGCCGAGACGACAUCGAUUCCACUGUCACCCUCUUGCAUCAUGUGCAUCAAAUCAACCUAAAAAGGAUAAGUUAAUGUUUAAUUGAUAAUUUCUUAAAAGAAGAAUGCUGGACAUCACUUCGUGGCCGUCGUAAGUCCACGAUCCGAAUUUCAUGAGGCAACUCUGCUUGUCGAAUGGAAACCAUUCGACAUCCAUCUCGCAGCUGGACUUGUAGAUGGCCGGUGGAUUCCAGUUGACCAGACCCGUAUGAUGGACAGUAGCUUUGGAAUGAUGAAACGUGAACGACUCACUUGUUGUACAAGACAAUGUCGGGCAACCAGAUGUUUUCAGCUGGUACGUAGAGCAUUUCCACAUCCUCGUAAUCGGCUGGAUCCCACACCAGACGAUAGUCGGUCCAUUUCUGCUUGCAUCGAACGUGAGCUUCAGAGAACUACGUCCUCGACGACUGAUCUCCCAGCUGGAUGUCGGAGCCUGCGUUGCUGCGAGAUUCGAUGGUGGCAGAUCAUCUGUUUCGUCUAGUGACCGUUGAACGUCCAGAGAGCAGCACCAUCCAGUCGUUGCUUAGGUCGAUCCUUCCAGACAGAACCUAAAUCAAUAACAGACAGCAUCCUUCCAAUGUUUUCACUGCGGCUGAAGGUUUCUCAUUCGUGACGUUCCUAUUAUAACUUCUCUUUCCGUUUUGGGACCAAAAUAAGUAAAAAGAAAACUAGCGCAAUAGCAAAGUUAGCUAGAGAGGAUUCCACAUGGGUUUAUUGAUCGAUCCAUUCUAGAGACCCAACCGAAUAAUAAUAUGAAUAAAAACAAAAGAAAAUCCCUUUGCAUCACUCGUACAAGAGGCAAACAUCGUUAGAAAAAAAAAAGACACAUCUGAGAAAAAACACAGUGCGAAAAGAAACUUCAGUUGGAAGAAAAACAGAGGGGCAUAUAAAGAAAUAAGUGAUAAAAGAUCGACACAUUAAUCAAGCAACAUCACGCCCUAAAUUCCAAUCAAAGACACAAAUCGAAAUACAACAGCAACCGCAAAAAUAAAACAAAAUCGGCGUUUUUUUU